UUACGCUGUUAUCCCUAAGGUAACUUAGUCUAAUAAUCAAUAAUAAUGGAUCUAAUAUUCAUAAAUCAAUGUUAUGUAAAUAAAAAAGUUAAAUAUAUAUUUUUGUCACCCCAACAGAACACAAAAAAACCUAAAAAUAUUGAUAUAUAAAUAUUUAAAUAAUUUCAUGAAAAGAUCUAUAGGGUCUUCUCGUCUUCCAAUAGAAUUUUAGCUUUUUAACUAAAAAAUUAAAUUUUAAAACAAAUAAAAUGAGACAGUUAGUUCCUCGUUAAACCUUUCAUUCCAGCCCUCUAUUAAAAGACUAAUGAUUAUGCUACCUUUGCACGGUCAGUAUACCGCGGCCGUUGAACUCCUCACUGGGCAGGUCAGACCUUCAAUUAAAUUCAAAAGGACAUGUUUUUGUUAAACAGGCG
rnacentral:rRNA from 1 species